rnacentral:rRNA from 1 species
AACGUAGGUUCCGAGCGUUAUCCGGAUUUACUGGGCGUAAAGCGCGUUCAGGCGGUUCGGCAAGUCGGGCAUGAAAUCUCUCGGCUCAACCGGGAGAGGUUGUCCGAUACUGCUGGACUUGAGGGCAGUAGAGGGUGGUGGAAUUCCGGGUGUAGUGGUGAAAUGCGUAGAUAUCCGGAGGAACACCAGUGGCGAAAGCGGCCACCUGGACUGUACCUGACGCUCAAACGCGAAAGCUAGGGGAGCGAACGGGG